UUUUUCGUGUCUCCUGAACAAUUUAAAAAAUGGACUUAUUACCUUUUCACUUUAAGGUAACGAUUUGUAAUACUUUAUGACAAUUCAAGUUCAAUGCCAGCAAGUUUGUCAACAAAUAAGCAAUACAAAAAAAAUUUUGGUGUUUUACUUUGGCGAAAUGACGAAGUGUGGUUUAGUUUAUAUGCGUUGGUGCCAUACUAAAUAACUACUAAUAUAUACGAAAAAAAAACUUAUUAUAAUUAAAUAAAUAGGUACAGCGAAAGUGCGUUUGCAAUAUUGCAUAGUAUAGCCACACAAAUUGAAAUACGAAAAUCAAGCAAACAAAGUUUUAUAUACUCAUAUACAUACGUAUGCACAUAAUUAACAAAGUGCAAACAACAUAAAUAAACUUAAUCAAAGCGACCAAAACGCAAUACUAUUUCGAAAAUUCAUCAGUGUGCAGCUAGGUGCUAAUGUUUGUGCCGUCGAAUUAUCAAAUUUACUAAAAAUCCAAAAUAAAUACGAAAAUUUUCUAUUUGAAAUGUGACUUACAUCAGUGAGUAAGUGUGUGUGUUUAAUUUAUACGAUUUAAAAAUAAAAACAACAACCUAACUCAACGACAAGUCUAACUUGUGGCAUUGUCGAAAUUUAAUUGCCAUAAAGCAAAAGUUUUUUAAAAACCAAAAGCCAAAUAUAUUUGCGACGAUAACACUGAAAGUUUAAAAGGUUAGUUAAAAUGUUUUACAAAAAAA